rnacentral:misc_RNA from 1 species
GAUGAAGAACGCAGCGAAAUGCGAUAAGUAGUGUGAAUUGCAGAAUUCAGUGAAUCAUCGAAUCUUUGAACGCACAUUGCGCCCCUUGGUACUCCAUGGGGCAUGCCUGUUCGAGCGUCAUUUACACCCUCAAGCUCUGCUUGGUGUUGGGCGUCUGUCCCGCUUCGUGCGCGGACUCGCCUCAAAUGCAUUGGCAGCGGUCUUGCCAGCUUCUCGCGCAGCACAUUGCGCUUCUAGAGGCUUUGGCGGAUCGGCGUCCAUCAAGUACACCCACAGUUUGACCUCGGAUCAGGUAGGGAUACCCGCUGAACUUAAGCAUAUCAAUAAGCGGAGGA